rnacentral:lncRNA from 1 species
UUACAGUUGUAUCUUUUUCCAACAAAGACACCAUUCUUAGUUAUUACUACAUGAUCAGAUUUAUGACUAUCUUGAAGCCUCUAUUAGACAGCAAUCCAGCGGACAUCAAGUUCUUCUUCAUAUCGGGAACAUGAUAUACAUUUAGCAAUGUUAACUUCUGUCCGGAAGUGAAAUUUAUCUUAAUCCUUCCCUUUCCUGCAACAUCAGCG